AGAGUUUGAUCCUGGUUCAGGAUGAACGCUGGCGGCGUGCUUAACACAUGCAAGUCGGACGAUGAAGCCGGAGCUUGCUCUGGUGGAUUAGUGGCGAACGGGUGAGUAACACGUGAGUAACCUGCCCUUGACUCUGGGAUAAGCGUUGGAAACGACGUCUAAUACCGGGUGCGACGCGCGAAGGCAUCUUCUGCGCGUGGAAAGAAUUUCGGUCAAGGAUGGACUCGCGGCCUAUCAGCUAGUUGGUGAGGUAACGGCCCACCAAGGCGACGACGGGUAGCCGGCCUGAGAGGGUGACCGGCCACACUGGGACUGAGACACGGCCCAGACUCCUACGGGAGGCAGCAGUGGGGAAUAUUGCACAAUGGGCGCAAGCCUGAUGCAGCAACGCCGCGUGAGGGACGACGGCCUUCGGGUUGUAAACCUCUUUUAGUAGGGGAGAAGCGAAAGUGACGGUACCUGCAGAAAAAGCACCGGCUAACUACGUGCCAGCAGCCGCGGUAAUAC
rnacentral:rRNA from 1 species